rnacentral:rRNA from 1 species
GCGGCCUAUCAGCUUGUUGGUGAGGUAAUGGCUCACCAAGGCGACGACGGGUAGCCGGCCUGAGAGGGCGACCGGCCACACUGGGACUGAGACACGGCCCAGACUCCUACGGGAGGCAGCAGUGGGGAAUAUUGGGCAAUGGAGGAAACUCUGACCCAGCGACGCCACGUGAGGGAUGAAGGCCUUCGGGUUGUAAACCUCUUUCAGUAGGGAAGAAGCGAAAGUGACGGUACCUACAGAAGAAGCACCGGCUAACUAUGUGCCAGCAGCCGCGGUAAUACAUAGGGUGCAAGCGUUGUCCGGAAUUAUUGGGCGUAAAGAGCUCGUAGGUGGUUCGAUACGUCGGAUGUGAAAAUCAGGGGCUCAACCCCUGACCUGCAUCCGAUACGGUCGAGCUAGAGUUUGGUAGGGGAGACUGGAAUUCCU